GAUGAAGAACGCAGCGAAAUGCGAUACGUAAUGCGAAUUGCAGAAUUCAGUGAGUCAUCGAAUCUUUGAACGCGCAUUGCGCCCUGUGGUAUUCCGCAGGGCAUGCCUGUUCGAGCGUCAUUUCAACCCUCAAGCCCCGCUUGGUGUUGGGCCCCGCCCGCUGUGGCCGGCCCUAAAGACAGUGGCGGCGCCGCCUGGCCCUCAGCGUAGUACAUCUCUCGCUCCAGGGUCCGGUGGCCGCCUGCCAGAACCCCCCAACUCUGUGGUUGACCUCGGAUCAGGUAGGGAUACCCGCUGAACUUAAGCAUAUCAAUAAGCGGAGGA
rnacentral:misc_RNA from 1 species